rfam:Dipodomys ordii contig_16590, whole genome shotgun sequence.
GGGACUGUGGCUUAGUGGUAGAGUGCUUGCCUUGCAUACAUGAAGCCCUGGGUUCGAUUCCUCAGUACCA